rnacentral:sRNA from 1 species
AGGCCUGGCCCUGACGUCACCCACACCCGGCCACUGGCCUCCCUCUGAAGCCAGGAAACUAGUUGGGGAGUGGCACUCGCAGCUGCAGCAAAUCUCAAACUAAAGAGGCAACGGCCUUUCUCUUCCUCUCCAUCUCCCUAUAGCACACCUUUUAUUUCUUUUCUUCUUUUUUUUAAGCCUCACGAAAGAUUUUACUUGUAGAUCAACUUUCAAAAUGUAGGAAGUCAGAAUGGGUGACAUCAUCAGAAAAAUAUGUGGAGCUGAUCACCACAAGAAGUGAAGAACCCAGAGCACGAAAGCGGUUGUGACUCCUGGGCCCAGGGAGUUGACAGCGUCUGGGCUUCAGAGGAGCCAGCGCCUCCGAGUUGUCUUGAAGUGAGGCUCUGCCGUAGUCCUGUCCUUCUGGCUCUAAGAUCUGAAUGUUGUGACCACUAAUUUGCUCUUUCCUGGAGGGUAACCCCAGUUUGGUCCACAAGGCUUGCUGCCCAAUCCUUGCCAACAGGACUGCAAAGAAAAUUAGCUCAGCCUGCAGAACAACGAGACCGCGAGCAAUUGAACCAAGACUCUGAGGCUGAUAUGCAAUGUCACUUACAACAUUAAUCAGAUACUGCAUUUAAGGUAGGAGGCAAGGUGGAUUCUAUUUUUAACUCUUAUGCACUCCAUCAUGUGCAAGCAACUUGGGUUCUCAAAUUUGUAUUUUCAAUGCUGGUAUCAGUGGUUUGAUUUUCAGCAAAUGUGACAGUGGCCUUUGCAGUGGUCAGCUCCGAGCUUUGAACUCUCAGAGGAGGAAGGGGAAAAAAAUUCAACACACCACCUCCUUGGUUGCAGUCUCAGAAAAACCUUGGAUGAGAAACUUCUUUUUUCAAUCCUGUUUUCCUGUUGAUAAAUUCAGUUCUGUGAUCACAGUUCAUUCAAGCUGUUCUGCAUAUGAUUUUUGUGUGUAUGUGACAAUUGCAUCUAAAACUUGUGAGCAAGAAGACAGAGAAAUCAGUUGGUCUCCAUCGCUUUACAUAAAAAUGGCUGAGUGUCUUGUCAUGCUAGCACUGCAUUAAGUGAUGCAUACAGGUAGGUUGAAAUUUGCAUGUUUUUAUAGUUUUUUUUGGGCCAUGCAGCAAGAACAUUAGAUGCAUUAGAAUAUGACUUUUAGAAAAACAAAAAUUAAAUAAGCCAGUUGUAAUCUUUUGGGGGAGGGUUUUUAAUUGGACAGCCUCUGCUAUUCAGAUAGUAUAUAAAUGUAUAGCUUUUACAAACUUAUUAAAUGAUUCUGCCAUAAAAGGGAGAUUUUUUUUAAAAAAAUCAUAUAUAUGAUAGGUGUGGUGCCAUUAGACAACAAAAGAAUUUUUUGAAAAGAGUGAUGAUUCAGCUCCAUUUCAGCUUGAAACUAAAAAUAAAUGGGUUUCUGGAGAUGAUUUCAAAGAGCAUAAACAAGCUUAAUAAGAAACAUUAAAAAUAUUUAAAUUUUAAGAAGCGGUCUUUAAACGUGUUACAUGAAAGAUGAAAAUGAAAACUGAUAUGCUUCCAAAAUUAAUUUUAGGUAAUAUACAAGAAUACAUUAUAUUAUGUAUAUAAUUUGGGGGGAUGAGGAGUUACAAUUUUUAAAGAAGGAAAUAUUAAAUAUAGAUGGCCCUCUUAAAAGAAAUAGAGCUUCACUAAAUGAAACCGAGCCCCUAGAAUGGUUCAUUGCAGACCAUAUAGCUGUGGUUCUGGCACUUUUCAAAAUAAUUUCAUGAGCUCUUUCUUUUGAGCUUAACUUCUCAAAUAUAUUUUAGUUUCAAAUUUAACACUGGGCCAGAACCUGUUUCCUUGGUAACCAAAUCGUAUUUAAACAUGCAAUAACAGAUAUGCAAAAGAAUGUCUUUAAAAAGGAAACAAAUGUUUAAUGAAAAAUUUACAGUUCUUUUUCCUCUCAUAUAGAAUCUGAACUGGUUUUAGAUGGUUUUUAAUGCGGUCUUCAAGCCUUAAAAAUUAAGCCAUAUUUCUAAACAUAUAGAGAAAGCUUGCACAGUGACAGCUUUUCUCUCCCUCCUUUGUGCUCAGUACUUUCAAAAUUAAGGUUUUCUUUGCAGUAUGCUCCAGAAUGCAGGUCAAGGUUUGUGUACAGAGGUGUAGUUUCAUUAUCACAAGUUCACCAGCGCCACUGAAACAAAAGGUAUUUCAGAAAUUCUGAGAAUCAGAAAAUGCUUGUACUCUUGCCUUCCCUGAUCCCUCCGUUGGUAACCUCAGUGCUGUCGGUAGAAAAGGACCCAAAUCCAAGCCUACCCCUACCAAUGACAAGUGCACCCUGAACCUUUGUGGAAAUAUCUCUAUAGGUGUGUUAGGAAGAUGGUGCUAAACCUGAAACCUCCCCGAGGUUUGCUUCAAUGUGAAGAACAUUGAGAUUCAAAACCAUCUGUGUAAAAGGCUGCCUUAUUCUAGCAGUUUAACUAAUAUUCUAUUCCAUAGCACUAUCAUAGAACUGAACCUCUCUAAUGGGCUGAAGGGUGGUGGUGGUUGUUGUCAUGUUGUUUUGUGGCCAACUAAAAUAUUUUGCUUGGAGUCUUUCUCUGGUUCAAUUAUUUUGGAACGUGAUUCAUCUCAUACUGAUUUUGUUCUCCAGGCUUGCCAUGAAAUACCCUUCCUGCAACACCUUUUUUUUUUUUUUUUUUUUUGGCUGUUGGGAGCCAUUUUCCUUCUUGCCUGUGACUUUAAAUGACUAAGUACAUUUUGAAUAUAGUAUCAAUCAGAAGAUUGUAAACUGAAGGGAAAUAUCAGAAACCUGAUUCAAUAUUGCGUAUUUUUUUUAGUACCAACAGCAUUAACAGUUGCAAUAGGAUCAAGCUAAUUGUCAUUCGCUCUUGAGCAAAUAAUGAGCCAGGCAUUUAUAAUUAAAACACUACUGCUAGUCAGAAAGCUUAUAACUACAAUGUCUUCUAUUUUGAUAGGCCAGUACAAAGUAAUCAUUUUGCACCUAUUUGAAUCUUAAUUACAAGAUUAGAUGGAUGCAAUGCAAUUGUUUUACCAUUAAAAUGAAUGCCUGAUAGAUUCAACAGUGUAUUUCUUCUUUAUAGAAUGUCGAUUCUUUUGUUUGUGACUCAAGCAUGGUUGCGUCAUCUUGUAGAUUUUCAUACUUAAUGGGGUUUUUUUGUGGCAUUAUUCACUUAUGUUGCUCUUAGUCUUGCCUAAAAGAAUUUUAAACCCAAUUCAAGGAUCUAGAAAGCCAAAUAAGAUUGUUGGGA